rnacentral:rRNA from 1 species
AUGGUAGCACAUGGUGUGGUUACAAACAUCAAAGUUUUUCCAGAAAGGCAGUAUGCUUUUGUGGAGUUUGCAACAAUUGAAGGAGCUUCUAAUGCUAACAAACUUCUAGAUGGGCGUCUUUUCAAUAAUACAAGGAUUCAUGUUCUUUUCUCCAGCAGUGGGCUUGAUAACCUAACAACGCUUGUUGGGUUCCCUAGAUCAGAGAUGUACAAUGAUAGUCCACAUGCGGCACGUGAUUAUUUUGGUGUUGGUCGCAGUAGUGAUGGCACAUCACAAGGGUAUGAUCCUCGACGUGGAAGAGCAAGAUACUUGGACUAUGGUGCAAUGCCAAUCACUGUUGGUAUCCUUCCAGCACCUGAAGUUGGCUCGUCUUUGUUGUCUGGACAUUCUGCUCAUAGUGCGCUCAAUUCAAGAGAAGCCAAAAGGGUGAGGCUGGAUGCUGGCAUCGACCCUUACCAUGUAAGGACAGGCAUUGAGGGUCUUCAUCCGGGUCUGGAAGCUUUUUUUACCCUUGAUCUUCAGCGAAUUGUUUUCUACCACUUAUGGAUUGUUUUUUCCGGACCUAUAGCAAAUUCUUUUCCGGAUUGGGGAACAAGGGUCAGGUCGGGCAGCUAUUUUUUUCUCGGAUCUUUAGAGAAUCAUUUUCUACCACUUAUGGAUGGCAGUGGUGGGUAA